rnacentral:rRNA from 1 species
CUUCAGGCCUAACACAUGCAAGUCGAGGGGUAACAGAGGUAGCUUGCACUUGCUGACGACCGGCGCACGGGUGCGUAACGCGUAUAGAACCUACCUUUUACAGGAGAAUAGCCCAGAGAAAUUUGGAUUAAUGCUCCAUAGUAUUAUUGAAUGGCAUCGUUUAAUAUUAAAGUUUCGGCGGUAAAAGAUGGCUAUGCGUUCUAUUAGCUAGUUGGUACGGUAACGGCGUACCAAGGCGACGAUAGAUAGGGGUCCUGAGAGGGAGAUCCCCCACACUGGUACUGAGACACGGACCAGACUCCUACGGGAGGCAGCAGUGAGGAAUAUUGGACAAUGGAGGCAACUCUGAUCCAGCCAUGCCGCGUGCAGGAAGACGGCCCUAUGGGUUGUAAACUGCUUUUAUACGGGAAGAAACCCAACUACGUGUAGUUGGCUGACGGUACCGUAAGAAUAAGCACCG